UACAGAGGUGGCAAGCGUUGUUCGGAAUUACUGGGCGUAAAGGGCGCGUAGGCGGCCUUCUAAGUCAGACGUGAAAUCCCCCGGCUUAACCUGGGAACUGCGUCUGAUACUGGAGGGCUUGAGUGCGGGAGAGGGAUGUGGAAUUCCAGGUGUAGCGGUGAAAUGCGUAGAUAUCAUUUGGAACGCCAAUGGUGAAAACAGGUGGCUGGGGGUGUGCUGACGCUGAGACACGAAAGCCAGGGGAGCAAACGGG
rnacentral:rRNA from 1 species